rnacentral:rRNA from 1 species
UAAGGAAUAUUGGACAAUGGUCGCAAGACUGAUCCAGCCAUGCCGCGUGCAGGAAGACGGCCCUAUGGGUUGUAAACUGCUUUUGUACCAGAGAAAACCUAUCUACGUGUAGAUAGCUGAUAGUAUGGUAAGAAUAAGCAUCGGCUAACUUCGUGCCAGCAGCCGCGGUAAGACGAAGGAUGCAAGCGUUAUCCGGAUUCAUUGGGUUUAAAGGGUGCGUAGGCGGGCUUGUAAGUCAGUGGUGAAAUCUCUCAGCUUAACUGAGAAACUGCCAUUGAUACUGCAGGCCUAGAGUAUAGAUGACGUUGGCGGAAUAUGACAUGUAGUGGUGAAAUACUUAGAUAUGUCAUAGAACACCGAUUGUGAAGGCAGCUAACGAAACUAUAACUGACGCUGAGGCACGAAAGUGCGGGGAUCAAACA